GGUCCCGUAGCUCAGACGGAUAGAGCGAUCGCCUCCUAAGUGAUAGGCAACAGGUUCGACUCCUGUCGGGACCACCA
rnacentral:tRNA from 1 species